AGUGAACGCUGGCGGUAGGCCUAACACAUGCAAGUCGAACGGCAGCACAGUAAGAGCUUGCUCUUACGGGUGGCGAGUGGCGGACGGGUGAGGAAUACAUCAGACUCUACUUUUUCGUGGGGGAUAACGUAGGGAAACUUACGCUAAUACCGCAUACGACCUACGGGUGAAAGCAGGGGAUCUUCGGACCUUGCGCGAUUGAAUGAGCCGAUGUCGGAUUAGCUAGUUGGCGGGGUAAAGGCCCACCAAGGCGACGAUCCGUAGCUGGUCUGAGAGGAUGAUAAGCGACACUGGAACUGAGACACGGUCAAGACUCCUAAGGGAGGCAGCAGUGGGGAAUAUUGGACAAUGGGCGCAAGCCUGAUCCAGCCAUACCGCGUGGGUGAAGAAGGCCUUCGGGUUGUAAAGACCUUUUGUUGGGAAAGAAAAGCAGCAGGUUAAUACCCAGCUGUUCUGACGGUACCCAAAGAAUAAGCACCGGCUAACUUCGUG
rnacentral:rRNA from 1 species